GAUAUCGAAGUCCCAAAAAGGGCCAUGUUAGUAAGAUAUAGAGCCAAAGAGGUUUAUUGGAACAGAGAUUAUAUAUUACCUGAGAGGUGAUCUUGUGAACAAGAUCAUCAUAGUCUGGAAGAGUGAGGGGAUCUUGUAUUGGAAAUGGAAUAAAUUCGUAAGGGAGAGCAUAUGGCAAAGAUAGGAUGACUUCUUUGAAGACAUCUGCACAGAAACCAGUUGCUGUUACUGCUUGUGUUUUUGAAUCUCUUUCCACUUUAAUGAGUUGCUCCAGCCCUCCUUUGAGAGGAACUCCAACCCUUAACUUCUUCCCACUUGUGGGCAUUUCCCAGCCUCUUGGAACAAUAGUUGAUUCACCAGGCCAAAAAAUGGCUCCUAGUUGCUUAUUAUUACACUUAACUGCUGUUUUACCAUUCAUCUUCAGUUUACACGAAAUGCCAUCCCUCUUCGUCCAAAAUCCAAUGUUUUUCUCUCCUUUCCCAAUUAUAUUCACAAUCUGAUAUGGGAUUGGCUGCAGUUCUCCAUUGAUGAUACGGAAAUCACCACUUAAUCCUUGUUUUAGCACUGUGUUUCGCAUAGAGUCAAUGAGCAGAGAUCCCACUGCUGACGUUCCAAGUGCAUCUAAGUCUGUUAAGUUCUCUCUGGUGUCUGGUUUCUUUAAUUUUGGGAUAGCAGUAGUGCCUACUUUAUCUACUGCUUCUGCUAAUGAGGUGAUGCUAUCGUAUGCCCAUAGCCCAAAAACAUUGAGUUCUAUUUGGUCCAUGUCUGGAUACUCUUGACGGAAUCUCUUUCUCCAUCUCUUUGUGUAGUUGUUAAGCUGAUUUGAUCUUGGAAUGUAAGGUUUUAUACCAAGAACACCUUGCAUUGAUGACUCGAUCACUGAAUGAUCUACCAAGUCCAGAAGACUCGUUAGCACAUCUGUGAUGAUCCAUGCAUAUCCACUGCUCAUCAUCCCUGCUUCUUUGGCCUUGAGAAAAAGGCGGGAGGCAAGAUAUGGACGCAAGUGCACGACGAACACCCUUGUUUGCUUUGUAUUCAUAUUGUAUAACUCCUUGAGAAUCUGAUCAUCAUUGGCUGACGGAGAAAUAACACUUCUAUAGGAGACUAAAGUGCUGAUUUCCAGUAAGGCAUCAGUCAAAUGUGGAACUAUCCCGAACCCAUAGGGGCUAUCCUCAUAGAUGACCACAACCUCCCUCCAAUCAAAGUUUUUAACAAGUGCUGCAAUGGCCUUAGUCUGGCUGGAAGAAGGAAGUGCUGCUCUGAUGAAGAAGGGAUUUUCCUUGACUGUAAGUAAAGGACUUGUUGCUGGAGAAAUGAUUGGGACUUUUACUCUGUUCCCUAAGUCGAUCACAAAAUCAGUUUGUGUAGACAUUUGUGGCCCAAAGAUAGCUUGUACUUGGACAUCCUUUAGCAAGUAUAUGGCUGCACAUACACAAUCAGACAAUAAGAAUUUACCCAAAGUAAGAGUUUAAUAGAAGUGAAUCAUGGAACUGAAUUUACCAGCAGAUGUUGCUUCAACAUCAUCUUUCUUGGAAUCCUUGAUAUGAGGAACUAUCCUUAUGGCACCGCGACUAGCGUUGGCAUGAUAAUCUUCAAGUGCUAGUAAGAUAGAUAUGUGCAUUACUUUUCCCACAUCUGUUUCCAGAUCAAGAAUUAUACCCACAUCCACCUUUACAGCACUAGUGUUAUUAUCUUCACCUCUUAUUCGAACCACAUAGUGGUAAAAGCUAAUGAUGGAGAUAAGUUGAAAUGAAAAGAAUUAGAAAAGUGGCAUCUUGGAUUAUGCAUUUGAAAAAACUCUGGUAGCAAGUAGUCUGAGAGAUGGGCAACAAGCAGUUGUGCUUGUGCAAGAUAACCACACAUUCAGAAUGACAAUUUUCCUAUAAUUAAUAAGACCAAACUCCAUAAAUGAAGAAAGAAAAGUCAAAGAACAAAUGGUUGAAAAUCAAGUAUUCGUUUGAUUAUUGAAAGUGAGGACUUUUCACAUAUGCUACAACCGCACAGCUAGUAAGCAUAUUACCCCUCAGGUUUGACUAAAUAAAAAUUUGACAAAAUUGAUUGGUACUCAUUCCCCAACACCCAAUUACUUUUUGUGUGUACUAUCUAGAGGAUAUAUUCAAGGGAACUUACAUGAAUUCAACUAAUUUAGGAGUUAAUUACUUAAAUACAUUGUAGUUUGCAAUAUUACGUAUUUUACUAGAUUUUGGUAUGUCCAGAUACAUUCAGAUACAUAUAUGUGAGGUUACUUAGGAUCAAAAUUAGGUGUAAUUUGCUCUAGAUGCAUUGUAUCUAAGUGACUUUGCAUGUAUCUGGGAUACAUAACAAAUCUCGCUCGCCUCUCUCCCAUCUCUCACUCUCCUAUGUAUCUGAUAUUCCAUAUACAUGUGAAUCACACCAGAUACAUACACAUAAAUGUAUCUUAUGUGUAUAUAGUGUGAUUCGCAUGUAUCUGGGAUACAUAACAAAUCCCGCUUGCCUCUUUCCUCAUCUCGUUCCCCUAUCUUCCUAUUUUUGUGUAUCUGAUGGCAAAAAUUCAUGUAGCCAAAUGUAUUUUCCUCAAUAUAUGAUAGGAAACUCUUAAUUAGUGAUAGUAUACGAAAUAUUUUAAAAGUAUAGAAUAUAAUAGUAUAUAUGAUAGUGAAGUAUGUCUAAUGAUAUAGUUUUUCUGUAUUGAAAGGACUUCCCAAAUUUUGGCUGAGGCAUAAAAAGUUGACAAAUUUAGCUCAGUUACAAAUUCCACAAUUAAACCAAUAAGUAGAAGAGACCAUUGUUUUCCAACUUGGACAAGGCUAGAUACGACUAGUAAUCUUUAGUUUACGCGUUUUCAGUUACUAGUCUUUGGACACGUGCGUUGCACGUAUAUCCCAUAUUAUAUGGUUGCAUAAUAUAUGUCUAUAGUUACAAAUAUAUGUAUAAAAAAAAAUUGAUUGUGAUAUAAAUUGGAAAACAUGUAUAAGAUAAGAAAUCAAAACAGAUACCCUCAAAUUUCAAACUAUAAGCAUAAUAAGAAUAUGUAUUUCUAAUGAGUUUAAUCAAUCAUACCUUGCAAUAAUCUCUGCAAUUCAUUGAGAAACUUUCAAUCCAUACAUCAACAUUCAAUCGUGUAUAUAUAAAGAAAACUUGAAAUGCAUAACAACAAUUAUAUCUAUAUUUUUUAAAACACUAUAAAGUCAUUUUUUCUUUUUGCAUUAUAAUAUGGAUUGCACACAAUUUCUAUUAAAAAAAAGAAAGACAAAAUUAGGAAAAAUCGUAUCAAUAAAUUGGAAUGAAAAAUGUAAAAUUGUAAUAAGAGGAAGAGAAGAAAAAUACAGUAGAAUAUAUUACCUAACCAUGAAUAAGGAAGUAUGUUGAGUAAAAGAAGAGUAAUGCAAAAGUGUGAACUGAUAUAUGGAGGAAAUUGACAAAUAUAAUAAUCUAUAUUGAAUAAUGAAAAACAACUCUUCAAUUUCUGCAAAAAUUUUAUAACUACGAGCUCAAAAUAAUAUAAAUUUAUUAAUUUAAUAAAUGACAUAAAUAAAUAAAUAACAUAUAUUGUGUGUAUGUGUAGUUAAUGGGGUAGUGAAAAAGACUCUUUCUGAAAUUAUUUUUAUCUCUUUAAAGUAAUUUUGAACUUUUGAUAUUAGUGCUAUAGAAAAUCAUAUAAAGUCAUAAGCCACUGCAAGUUUUUAUAGUAAUUAUCUUAUUAAAUUAUAUACCUAUUAUUAUUUUUAAUUAUUUAUAAUCAUUCCGAAAAUGUAUAAAUUAAUUUUGAAAAGCUUGUAAAAUGAGAAAUUAUUAUUUCUUAUCAUUAUUUUAGCUAUUAUUAACAUUUAGUAUGACAACAUUUUAAAAAAGCAGCUUCCUUUAAAUAUUAAUUGUUUCUAAAUUAACAUAGCCAAGAAUUUAAAAUGUUGUGACGUUUUGUUUAUCUAAACACGCAGAAUUUUGUUUUUGAACCUGGAACAUGUAAUUAAGCCUUGGGUGAAUUAUAAUUUUAUUUUUACUAUUUAAUUAAUUAAAUAAUUUGUAACAUUUUAAUAUAAUGAAGGGGUAAAAUGGUAACUCAACUUUAAAGGUUGGAGCUUCCCACUUUUAGUAAUAUAUGAUAAAUUGGUCAGUAGUAGUAACCUAGUUUAAUUUGAUAUAAUAACAUUCAUGACAAAAUAAAUUAAAUAUGGCUAAUUAAGAAAAUAUAAUUAAAUAUGAUUAUCUUUAAUGUUAUUUAAAUUUGUAGGCGAUUUUUUUUGUAUUUUAAAAUUAAAAAAAGGCCAAAAAACCCACAAAAAGAGAUAAAUAGGAUUGAAGCCCUUAGAGAGCGUCACCUCACCGUUUUCAUAUUCAACUUUAUUAUUAUAUAUGGAUUUAGAUUUUUGCACAACCUUAAAUUUAAGGACACAUUUAGAUAUUAUAUCAAACAUUCAUUUAUUUGAAGUUGAAAUUACAUUUUACAUGAAAAUUGGAUAUUCCAUAUUCACAUUGAGUAUGAAUCUUUUUGUUUUUUUUACAAAAUUCAAAAUAAAAAAAUACAAAACAUAAACUUAUAGAUCAAAUUUUACAUUUGACAUUUGAAAGUUUUACUUUUCAUUAAACGUUUUGUUAUAGAAUUUGGAAUCGCCCUUUGAAAUUAGUAUUUAUAAAUGAAAAUAUUGAUCUAGUCCUGUUGAAAUUGUGUCUGGCCUAGUACUUUUUCUUAUUAGAGUGAUUAUUGAAUUAGGUUUAAUAUCAAUUUUCUUAAUUAGUUUUGUCAAUUGGCAGUGCUAAGAAGAUGGGAAUUUACGUUAUAUUAAAUUAUCUUUACAUUAAUAAAAAAAGAAAUUGUUGUUAGUAUUAUUUGUAAUAUAAUUAAACAAAAAUAACAAUGGGAAGAAAAUAAUAAGUAAAGAUUACACGUUGUAUUAAAAUAAUAAGUAUUAAAAAUUAUGAUAAAUUUUAUAAUAGUCAUAACAGGAAUUUACGCAAUAAUUACUAUAUUAGAAUACUAGAAAAAUUGAUAAGUUCCUCGACAUCUAAUCAUUGAUUAAAAUUUAAAUUAUUAUUUUCUUCUGCGAAAGUUUAAGAGAUUAAAUUAAUGUUUUAAAAAAUAAUAUUAAUUAUUUUCAAUGAUUAAUAAGAAAAUGUAUAUAGCAAGUACAUGUAUUAUUAUUACAUUAUUUAUAUCCACUCUAUAUUAAAUCAUUUUUCUAUUAUAGUUUGACGCAAAUUUCAGAAUGUAAAGAAUGUUUUGGAUUCGAAAAAUAAAUAUUCAAAAUAUACUAACAUGUCAUUUAAUCUUAUGAUAUUUUACAUUUCAUGUGAAAAAAAAUUAAAUAUUAAUUUUUUAAUAUGAAAAAUAUUAAUUUAUUAAUACAACAUAAAAGUAAUAAAGGACAAUAUAUAAAAAUAUUUGAAGUAUUUGAUAUUUUAUUAAAUUAAAAUAAUUCUAAAUUAAUAUAUAGCCGCGCAACGCGCGGGUACGUAUACUAGUGAAGAACAAUAAUAAAGAAGAAGACAAUUGAGUUAAUAUUUAUUUUUUCCAAGUUUAAUUUAACACAUGACCAGUUUUUAUUGGUCAGUGCUGUCAAAAAGUUGCACCCACGCGCCUAAAAUAGGUGAAAUCACGGACUCAGCCACGUAGGCCAAAAAGUGGUAAACAAUUAACUAAAAAAUAAGUUCAGGGGGGUAAUAGGACUUUAGUAAAGGUUAGGUGUGUCUCAGGGAUUUUGGGCAUAGGCUGGGGGGGUACUUAUGCAUUUUCCCUUAUGUUAAAUAUACCAAAAUGUUUUUUAAUCUUAUGACUUUAAACAUGUCACGUGAAAAACUGAAAUUAAAGUGUUGCCAAAAAAAGAAGGGUCAUUUUUUUUAAACAGACUAAACAGAAAAGUAGAUCUUUUUAAAACGGAAGGGAAGUAAUUGUUAAUGCAAGAGGAAGCUGCUUGAAAAGUUACGUAUAUGAUGUUGAAGUUGUCUAACAUGCAAUGCUGGUCCUAUAAUCUUUCAUUAUUUAUUAUCCAUGACUAUGGGUGGAUAAUAAUAGUUAUCUGCUAUGAUCAUAUAUACCUAGGGGUGGACAUAUUACUUAGAAAACUUAUGUUAGGUAAUUUUGAUUUCUAAAAAUACUAUAUGGUGUAUGCUAUUUGCAGAUGAUAGUCCUAAUCGACCAGACUCGUAAUAGAGUUAAUGUUAAGCUAGAGAAGAUAAUAAUGGCUCCCUUCUCAAAUAUUUCAUUGGUAGAAAUUUGCCUUCCAGAAUUUCAUAAUUGCAUCUGAUCCUUUCUGAUAACUCAAAGGGCAUCUUAAAUUGGUGCGGAAGUUUAAUUUUGACAUGGAACGCAAAUAUAUGCGGAAAAUUAGUAAUUCAAUAAAUAUUUAAUUAUGAAUGCAUAUUACAAAAGUGCAAGGAAUUCAAUUGUAAGAUGUUGAAGGUUAAACCCAUAAAUUCUAAAUACUAGAGACGCCUCUUAAUGCAAAUAUAAUAUGGUUUAACUAUUUUAAACCUGGCUCAUCUCUCUUAAGUUGUCCCUGUAAUGUUUUCAUGAACUGGAGUUCCAGGUUCUGUUGUAGAGAACCCUUCAAGUGCAGGGGAUGCUCCUAAGCCGUCGGAAAUUCUGAUUUCUGGGCUUUGCAAAGGAAGGUGGGGCAAUAUUUCAGUAGAGGCUUCACUUUCUGCAAACAGCAUAGCUGUUUGGAUUUCAUUGCCUUCAGAUGGCUCUUCUGACAUAGAAUUAGAGUUGUCUCUCUCUUUAUCAAAGGCAUUUGCUAUUGCAGAAAGCUUUUGCCAUACUGAAUCAUCAGUGGCUAAGAUUUCUCUAUUCUGAUAAAGGAAGAUGAGGAAGAAUAGGAGAAGAGCGGAGCCCGCUGAUACACCAGCUAUGAGGAAAAGGCCCUUAAAACUAUCGAGCAUGAGGCUAGAUGCUAUAGCCAUUCCAUCUUGCUUUGGACAAUCUGUUUCAUUCCCAAACCAUUUCUGUAUUAUGUUAUUCAUAAACUCUCCUUCCAUCACCUGCAAGACUGCUCUUGAGACGUCAGGUACCAAAGGAGAUCCUUUUGGAAAUGCCUGCCAGAAGUUGGGGGAAAAUAAAAGAUUAAAUUAUUGAGUAGAACAUAAACCAUUCUAAACAAAUGUAAACACGUUCUGAAACAUCACUGGAGUGCAACAUUCUUACGAAUCCAAAGCCAGCAGCCUUGUAUGUCGGACCGACCAUAAUAUACUUCCUGCAAUACUUGUUGAGGAAGAGUCUGAGAUAAGGUAGUUCAUCAACAAUUGCACCAACACCUCCAUUUUUACUUCCUCUUGAGAGGGCAUUACUAUACUCUUCCAAUGUGCUAUAACUUAUGAACUUGGAACUGUCAAACUUCAUGUGCUUCAAGACAUCUUUGACAAAGGAACCUUCUUGGUACCCAACAUAUUCUCCAUUCUUGAUCAGAUCAUUGAGGUCAGUUAUAGAAGGUUGGAGCUGUUGCACUGUCAACAUAGAUGUUAAGUUGGCUGUAUAACUUGAUGUCAGCACCAGAACCACGAAAACCCACACAAUCAGCACAAAUCUUGUGAAGUUACUAGUAACCCUCUCUCCUGAAACAACCAGCCAUAUAUAUGAUUUGUUGAGAAACAAGGAUAAAUCCUAAAGCUUUUUGUAUAUAAUUUGCUUUGUGUUAGAGACUUACUAUGAGCAAAAACGAGAGUUGAGAAGGAAAACCAGAAUAUCAUCCCAACUUGCUUGUGUUUGGGUCCUCGAAACUCUUUGUUUACACGAUGUUCAAGUACCCAAACCACAAAACCAAUGAAGAUGAAGAAUCCUCCUGUUGUUAUCCAAAGCUCGCUCUUUAGAGGUUUCAAGAAAAUCCAAGCAUUCUUUCUAUCAUCAUUCUUUACCGACACAACAGCAGAAAUACCGGACUCUGAAAAAGGUAAUGUGAAAUCCACAUACUUGGCUCGGCUCGCUAAAAUGGUCACAUCACCUACAACUGCAUCAUAUUCCUGGUUCAAGCAAACAACGAUUAUUUUAGUAUAUAUGGUUGAUCUCAGUCAAAGAAGAAAGUAGAUAUGGAAGUCCCGGAAAGGAGCAUGUAAGGUAUUCAGCCAAAAAGGUUAAUUCAAAAAAGAAUUGGAUAUUACCUUUGAGGAGAUCUUGUAAACAAGAUCAUCAUAGUCUUGAGAAGUGGGGCUAACUAUUGGAAAUGGAAUAAAUUCGUAAGGGAUGGCGUAUGGCAAAGAUUGGAUAACUUCUUUGAAGACAUCUGGAAUGAAACCAGUUGCAGUUACUGCUUGUGUUUUGGCAUCUAUUUCCACUUUAAUGAAUUGCUCCAGCCCUCCUUUGACAGGAACUCCAACCCUCAACUUCUUCCCACUUGUGGGUAUUUCCCAGCCUCUCGGAACAAUAAUAGAUUCACCAGGCCAAAUGAUGGCCGCUAGUUGCUCAUUCAUACUCUUAGCUGUUUUACUAUUCAUCUUCAGUUUAUGCGAAAUGCCAUCCUUCUCGGUCCAGAAUCCAAUGCUUCUCUCUCCUUUCCCAAUUAUAUUCACAAUCUCAUAUGUGUAUAGCUGCAAUUCUCCAUCAAUGAUACGGAAUUCACCACUUAGUCCUGUUUUUGGCUUUGUAUUUCGCAUAGAGUCAAGGAGCAGAGAUCCAAAUUCUGAGGUUCCAAGUGCAUCUAAGUCCGUUAAAUUCUCUCUAGUGUCUGCUUUCUUGAAUUUUGGGAUGAUGGUAGUGCCCACUUUUGCUAUUGCUUUUGUUAAUGCGGUGAUGCUAUCAUAUGCCCAUAGCCCGUAAACAUUGAGUUCAACUGGGUCCAUGUCUGGAUACUCUUGACGGAAUCUCUUUCUCCAUCUCCUCGUGUAAUUGUUAAGCUCAUUUGAUCUUGGAAUAUAAGGUUUUAUACCAAGAACACCUUGCAUUGAUGACUCAAUUACUGAAGUAUCUACCAGGUCCAGAAGACUCGUUAGCACAUCUGUGAUGAUCCAUGCAUAUCCACUGUUCAUCAUCCCGGUUUCUUUGGCCUUGAGGAAAAGGCGGGAGGCAAGAUGUUCUUGCAAGUGCACAAUGAACACCCUGGUCUGCAUUGUCUUCAACUUGUAUAGCUCCCUGAGGAUUUGAUCAUCAUUGGCUGAAGGAGAAAUACCACUUCUAUAGGAGACUAAAGUAUUGAUUUCCAGCAAGGCAUCAGUCAAAUAUGGAAGUAUCCCGGUUCCAUAGGGGCUUUCCUCAUAGAUUACUACAACCUCCCUCCAAUUAUAGUUUUUAACAAUUGCUGCAAUGGCUUUAGUCUGACUGGAAGAAGGAAGUGCGCCUCUGAUGAAGAAGGGAUUUUCCUUGACUGAAAGUGAAGGACUAGUUGCUGGAGAUAUUAUAGGAACUUUAACUCUGUUCCCCAAGUCGAUCACAAAAUCAGUUUGUGUAGAC
rnacentral:lncRNA from 1 species